rnacentral:rRNA from 1 species
UACGUAGGUGGCAAGCGUUGUCCGGAAUGACUGGGCGUAAAGGGAGCGUAGGUGGUGAUUUAAGUUAAAUGUGAAAGACCAAGGCUCAACCUUGGAACUGCAUUUAAUACUGGACCACUAGAGUACAGGAGGGGUAAGUGGAAUUCCUAGUGUAGCGGUUAAAUGCGUAGAUAUUAGGAGGAACACCAGAGGCGAAGGCGGCUUACUGGACUGCAACUGACACUGAGGCUCGAAAGCGUGGGGAUCAAAC